rnacentral:rRNA from 1 species
AAAUUGAAGAGUUUGAUCAUGGCUCAGAUUGAACGCUGGCGGCAGGCCUAACACAUGCAAGUCGAACGGUAACAGGAAGCAGCUUGCUGCUUCGCUGACGAGUGGCGGACGGGUGAGUAAUGUCUGGGAAACUGCCUGAUGGAGGGGGAUAACUACUGGAAACUGUGGCUAAUACCGCAUAACGUCGCAAGACCAAAGAGGGGGACCUUCGGGCCUCUUGCCAUCAGAUGUGCCCAGAUGGGAUUAGCUAGUUGGUGAGGUAACGGCUCACCAAGGCGACGAUCCCUAGCUGGUCUGAGAGGAUGACCAGCCACACUGGAACUGAGACACGGUCCAGACUCCUACGGGAGGCAGCAGUGGGGAAUAUUGCACAAUGGGCGCAAGCCUGAUGCAGCCAUGCCGCGUGUAUGAAGAAGGCCUUCGGGUUGUAAAGUACUUUCAGCGGGGAGGAAGGUGUUGUGGUUAAUAACC